CAGUAGCCGCGGUAACACGAAGGGUGCAAGCGUUACUCGGAAUUACUGGGCGUAAAGCGUGCGUAGGUGGUGGUUUAAGUCCGUUGUGAAAGCCCUGGGCUCAACCUGGGAAUUGCAGUGGAUACUGGGUCACUAGAGUGUGGUAGAGGAUAGUGGAAUUUCCGGUGUAGCAGUGAAAUGCGUAGAGAUCGGAAGGAACAUCUGUGGCGAAGGCGACUAUCUGGGCCAACACUGACACUGAGGCACGAAAGCGUGGGGAGCAAACAGGAUUAGAUACCCCUGUAGUCCCUGUCUCUUAUAC
rnacentral:rRNA from 1 species